rnacentral:lncRNA from 1 species
CUCCUAUUCUCUAGCUUAAGUUUGGUCUAGAGUUCACAUGUCACUGAGGUCAUGUUUGUUUCAUCGAAACUGAACUUUGGGUUGAAGUAGACUUUGGGUUAAAGUAGAGUUCAGUGAAGACUAUUUUUUUUCCGCUGUUUGUUUCGUAGUUAUGAAAGUAAAGUUUCAUUAGUUCUGCUAUUUAUUUGGUAGUAAGUGUAUGAUAUAAACCUAUAAUUUAUAUUAAAAUAAUAAAUAUUUUAAUAAAUAAAAUAAUAUAAUUAUUUUUUGUUAUAAUUAAAAUUUAAUUUAAAACAAUUAGAUUAAUUUUCUAUACAUAAAUUAUAGUGAUACAAUAAUAAAAUUAUAAAGUAAAAAAAUAUUAAUACUUAAUUAAUCAAUUUCUAUUAUAUUUUAAUUGUACAAACUUAAAAAAAAAAUAAAUUAACUAAUCAAUUUUUAUUAUAUUUUAAAAAUACCAAUGGAAUAAAAAAGUAAUUAGUAAUAUAAUUAAAUAUAUUUAAAUAUAACUAUAUUUACCUAUUAUAUUAUUUUAUUAUCUUUUCUUCAUCUCUUAUCACCGUAAUUAACUUCGAACAGGCCAAAGUCAAUUACGCCGUUUGAGGUUAAUUAACUCGAGUUUCGACUGUAACUUUUUUACGGCAAACAAAAUAAUGGAAGUAAUCGUUUAUGACAAAAACGACUUCCAUCCUCUCCAUUUCCACCAUACUUUCACCCAAACAAAUAUGCUCUUAACUCACACCUUAGAUUUAAACCUAGGUUAAAUGUCACACUUAU